rnacentral:rRNA from 1 species
AAGUCUAGCCUGCCCACUGAAUUUUUUUAAAUGGCCGCAGUAUCCUAACUGUGCAAAGGUAGCAUAAUCAUUAGUCUUUUAAUUGAAGGCUGGAAUGAAUGGUUGGAUGAAAUAUUAACUGUUUCAUAGAAAUUUAUAAUAGAAUUUUAUUUUUUAGUCAAAAAGCUAAAAUAUUUUUAAAAGACGAGAAGACCCUAUAAAUCUUUAUAUUUAGAAAAUUACAAUUAUUUAGAUAACUUUAAUUUUACUUUUUUUAAAUAUUUUAUUGGGGUGAUAUUAAAAUUUAAUAAACUUUUAAUUUAUUUUAAACAUAAAUUAAUGAAUUAUUGAUCCAUAAAUUAUGAUUAAAAAAUUAAGUUACUUUAGGGAUAACAGCGUAAUUUUUUUAGAGAGUUCAUAUUGAUAAAAAAGAUUGCGACCUCGAUGUUGGAUUAAGAUACAGUUUUAGGUGCAGCAGCUUAAACUUAAAGUCUGUUCGACUUUUAAAUUCUUACAUGAUC